rnacentral:rRNA from 1 species
UACGUAGGGGGCAAGCGUUGUCCGGAAUCAUUGGGCGUAAAGAGCGUGUAGGCGGCCAGAUAAGUCCGCUGUGAAAUCUCGAGGCUCAACUUCGAGCUGUCGGUGGAAACUGUCUGGCUAGAGUCCGGAAGGGGCGAGUGGAAUUCCUGGUGUAGCGGUGAAAUGCGCAGAUAUCAGGAGGAACACCGAUGGCGAAGGCAGGUCUCUGGGCCACUACUGACGCUGAGAAGCGAAAGCAUGGGGAGCGAACAGG